UGAGCUGAAGUGGUCUGGGUGUCUAUAGUGUCCCUUUAAGCUUUUCUAUAAAUUCAUGUGUGGGUAUCAUUACUUAAUAAAAAGAAUUCUCUAAGCAUCAUAACCACUAUCAUUUAGUGGUUAUGGUGUUAGGGGUGUCUUGAUGGAAAUCAAUGUUAAACUGUCAAAUGAUGUAAAGGCCCGAUGUAGUGGUUACGAUGCCA